rnacentral:lncRNA from 1 species
UGGCUGGUCCACCCAUGCACAUCUAUGGAUAUGUUCUUAAUCAAUUAUUUCUCUAAACAACAUCUAGUAAUUAAUUUUGCCCCAGAAACCUAAUUAGUAGGUUUUGGUCUCCACUGUAAGGUUCUAGUUAGGUCCAACCAUUAACAUGACUACUCUCAAAAAUUUAACUAACGAAUGAUCAAGCUCGACUUUGAUCGACCAACC